GAGUGUUGGCCUAUUACCGACCCUUUAGUCGUCUCUAUAGUUUCCAUGAGAUGUCGCCGUCUUCCUCUAGGCUUCAUGGUUUAUCGUAUCCUCGAUGCUUUGAUUAGUUCCAGUAACAAUGGUGUUUCUGAAUGUAGUGGUCAAAGUUCAAUUUCGUCGUUUUGUCUAUGGUUUUUACUCAUCGGUGACGUUACUGGAUUUCUUCAUUCAAUGAUUAUCAUUAACGCUUUCACUAACGCCCCCUUCCCACUCCUUACACGGUUACUUCUUUCUUCCAUGUGGCUCGAUUCUGUUUCUCUAUGGGCGACACUGAUGAUCUGAACAUUACUCCGAAGAGCACUAAGAAGCUUUGUACUUGAAAGAGGAGAUGAUAUCUUUGUUGGGCAAUGCCAAUACAUAUUCACGGG